UACGUAGGGGGCUAGCGUUGUCCGGAAUCAUUGGGCGUAAAGAGCGCGUAGGCGGCCAGAUAAGUCCGGUGUGAAAGUCAAAGGCUCAACCUUUGAAUGCCGCUGGAAACUGUCUGGCUAGAGUCCGGGAGGGGCGAGUGGAAUUCCUGGUGUAGCGGUGAAAUGCGCAGAUAUCGGGAGGAACACCUAUGGCGAAGGCAGCUCGCUGGGACGUUACUGACGCUGAGACGCGAAAGCGUGGGGAGCAAACAGG
rnacentral:rRNA from 1 species